CGACGCCCACUCCCAUGCCCGACGACUUCGUCACGUCGCCCAUUGACUGGCCCACAGAGCAGCCGGCCAUGUUGGUCCCGGCGCCCGCCGCCGCGGCGCCCAUCAGCCGCGAGACUGCAAAACAUAUUGGAGAAAAGCAGCGUGCCGUCGGAUAAAUCUCUGGAACAAGAAAGCCAACGUGUCUCUCCCUUCUCAACCAUCGCUCCUACCGCUACCACCAAGCAUCCGCGUUCUCCAGACACCCAACAAGAGUUCCUCGUCACUCACACACCGUGUCCACGUUAUUUCCAUCUAACGCACGAGAGAUAAUUUACGCGAAGAUCUGUCGAGGAUCGCGUGGAAAGGAAAGACGGUCGAAAGGCACGCGAGGACAUCGAGCGAGGAGAGAUAAAAAGAAUGGUGACGCGAUCCGUAGACGAGGCAGCGAGCAAGCGAAGAGGUCGAGCCUCUGAAUUCGAGCUACUGAAAGCCAACGAGCGGUUCAUCCCUUGUCAGUUGGGCGAAGGGCUGUCAAGAACGGACACGUUGGUCCCGUACAAAAGGAGCGAUUUAGACGCGCAAAGUGCUACGUCAUCGAGCACGGGAGGUCCAACGAUGAGGUCCCGAAUUAUUAUUAUGUCUGUGAGAACGUAUCCUCGGCCUGUCAGGCCGGUUCUGGCCGGGAAAGACAUACCACUCGAGACACCGGCAGCAAACGGCGCUGAAUUUGUUUGCACGCGACGAUCCGCGACUAAAUUGUCUGGAAAAUUGAUGAAAAUUCUUUGCUAGAUCUCGUGAAUCUUGAAAAGAUGUACCUUACUUUGUUCUAAAGCAUCUACAUGUUAUUAAGUACCUAAAACUGGGCUGACAACGAAGCCUUUGGAAAGGUAGAAAGAUGUUGGUCCAAUUGACGUUUUACGGACUCGUCGAGCAGCUUCCUAGCGAACGUCCAACUUCCGAGUCAUCGAUGAAACGUAUCUUUCAAUAACGUUUGAAGAUUUCCUUUGAGAAGAAUGUGAACCAGGACAAUGGAAAGCAAUCGAAGAUAGAGAGAACCAACGUUUCGACGGAAGUUCUCCGAACACGGGGGUGGAUCGCGUCGAGAAGCCGUGAAUCUCAUUAAGCAAAUCGACGUUGUCGAACCCGCCUACCUGACCACCGAAGUCGAAUGUCCCAUUAGGAUGAUCCCAACUGACAUGUAGGUAUAAUUACAGGGUAUCACCGAAUGAUAGACAAACUUUUGUUAAACGUGGACCAAUUUUAUUUAUUUUACAAGUUGAAAAUAACAUCGCGGGAUAUAGACAAAGAUCCUAAGAUCCCCGAAGAAAUUGAAUUUGAAAAACGUCCUUCGCGUUGAAUGCGCAUCGAGGCAGCCUCUCACCCAACGAGGGUCGUCCAAGCUUAUUUGUUUAACUAAAAUCUCCCGUAGUGUCCGGUAGCCACGCAUUUCGGGGCCGAGGAUCGAUACUUGUCUAGCGGUUGAACAAAGUGGCGCGUGCGGCGGACAGAAAUCCAAGGAGACGAACAUCUGUUGACACAAGUCCGAAGGACGCGGCUUUGUUGGUCGACAAUCUUUUCAGAAGCUCGAAACGCGAGGAACUCGAAAAACCUCCUCGAUGCCCUUAAGCAUGAUUCUGAAAUCGUAGAUGCGACGUUCGGGGCAGCUGGAGAACGGCUGUCGUGGAGGUGCCAUUCUUGGGAUCCUUUCCGACGGAAGAGAUGCGAACAUAUCGAAACGUAUCCUCGGUAUACUAUACUGUUACAAGCGACGGAAGAAUUCAUGAGUCCAUGUCACGAGGCAGCGACACGAAGAAGGGCCAGGCUAUUGUGGACAUUGAAACACGAGUCCGACGCUUCAUCGAUACUUAAAUGGACUAAGUGCGAGCUAGCUACUCUCGAUGCAGGUCAAUAAAAGCAGGACAGACGUGCUUCGUCGAAGACGAAAGGGAUGAUCGCGUACUAAGCGUACUUAUACUGGAAUCGAAGAUGAGAGAAGAAUAAAGGUAAAUGAUACUCACUGGCAAAUCGUGGAUCGUUGGUAGCCGGUGGAGCCGGAGCGUACCAAGGAUGAUGGGACCUCAUCGGGUCAGUUGCGGUGGCACCUGCGGCAACCCCUGGACCCGCGUGAUGAUAGGACAACUCAGCUGCGCAAUAUUGAUAUUGCGAGCACUGCUGCCUCCUCCGGUAGCGUCGUUCGGACCGGAAACCGGUCCAGGAGUGCCGCCACCGGGCGUCGAACCUCCGUG